rnacentral:rRNA from 1 species
UACGGAGGGUGCAAACGUUGCUCGGAAUCAUUGGGCGUAAAGCGCACGUAGGCGGUUCGUUAAGUCGGAUGUGAAAGCCCUCGGCUCAACCGAGGAAGUGCAUACGAAACUGGCGAACUUGAAUAUGGAAGAGGGUCGCGGAAUUCCCGGUGUAGAGGUGAAAUUCGUAGAUAUCGGGAGGAACACCAGUGGCGAAGGCGGCGACCUGGGCCAAUAUUGACGC